GGGCUGGAGAGAUGGCUCGUA
rnacentral:miRNA from 1 species